AUUGAACGCUGGCGGAAUGCUUUACACAUGCAAGUCGAGCGGCAGCGCGGGGCAACCUGGCGGCGAGCGGCGAACGGGUGAGUAACAUAUCGGAACGUAUCCAUAAGUGGGGGACAACCUAGCGAAAGUUAGGCUAAUACCGCAUACGCUCGAGAAAGGAAAGUGGGGGAUCGCAAGACCUCACGCUUUAGGAGCGGCCGAUAUCAGAUUAGCUAGAUGGUGAGGUAAAGGCUUACCAUGGCGACGAUCUGUAGCUGGUCUGAGAGGAUGAUCAGCCACACUGAGACUAAAACACGGCCCAGACUCCUACGGGAGGCAGCAGUGGGGAAUUUUGGACAAUGGGGGCAACCCUGAUCCAGCCAUUCCGCGUGAGUGAAGAAGGCCUUCGGGUUGUAAAGCUCUUUUGUUCGGGACGAAACGGUUUCACCUAAUACGUGAGACUACUGACGGUACCGGAAGAAUAAGCACCGGCUAACUACGUG
rnacentral:rRNA from 1 species